rfam:Salinibacter ruber DSM 13855, complete genome.
GGGGCCAUAGCUCAGCUGGUAGAGCGCUGGAAUCGCACUCCAGAGGUCCUGGGUUCGAAUCCCAGUGGCUCCA